AAAUCGUAAAAUCGUGGAAUUGC
rnacentral:siRNA from 1 species